rnacentral:rRNA from 1 species
UACGUAGGGGGCAAGCGUUGUCCGGAAUCAUUGGGCGUAAAGCGCGUGUAGGCGGCUCGGUAAGUCUGCUGUGAAAGUCAGGGCUCAACCCUGGGAUGCCGGUGGAUACUGUCGAGCUCGAGUCCGGAAGAGGCGAGUGGAAUUCCUGGUGUAGCGGUGAAAUGCGUAGAGAUCCGGAGGAACCCCAGAGGCGAAGGCGGCGCCCUGGCUCGCAACUGACGCUCAGACACGACAGCAUGGGGAGCGAACGGG